GUACUCACCUUUGUCCUUCUCAAAAACUGCUUGAGUGAUCUGUGAAUUAGUGGAUCCUGAUGCUGCACUUCCAUCCUCUGAUUCACUUGGGUUAUCUAAUGUUGCCUCCGCCUUGACUGCAAGUGGAUACACAUCUGCCUCACUAUCUUUGGACAAUUCUGCCUCUUCAAACAUUGAAAAAUCAAUGCCAGUACCAGACGGUUGCCUAAAUUUCUGAGCUAAACCUUUUUGAAACUCAAAAGUUACUGGUGGAAGCAAGCUUUCCUUCAUGGGAGUCAAACAACAAUCUUCACCUUCUUUUGCAAAGAAAAUGACAGUCAUGCUCCCAGGAACUGUGGCAUCAAAAGUGAAGGCCACAAGAUACUUGCCAGGAUUAGCUUCAUCAGGCUCAAUCCUUAGAGUCUCCUUCUUCAAGUUAACAUCAUUCCUUAUUGUUACAGCUUUUUGAUGCUCCACAUAUGGAGCUGGUGGAGGCAUCAUCGGUCCACACGGGUACCGCCCGUUAACCCAAUUAGCAUGACCAGGGUCCAUCCUAUGGUGAUGAUCAUACGAAGCUGGUAACGGCACCGGCAUCGCCGCCGGCGGUGGAGGAUAGUAACCCGGGUAUUGAUAAUACGGCGGAGCAUUAGGGUUUGGGUAUUGAGUAGGAUAAGGCGUCGCCGCCGCAAACACAUACCUGUUCGCGUUUAUCUCCGGCUGCGGUGGUUGUGGUUGUGGAGACGGCGGUGGGUGGCUCCUCCGGCUACUACUCCGUCGCCGGCCGUUCACACCACUACUUCCCAUAUUACCCAUUUUUAACCAAAAAAAAUCAAACUUUUCACCUAAAACCAAAAAAACCCAAAUCAAAAAUCGAAAACUCCCAAACUUUGAAUCAAACCAUUCAUGAAAAUAAACAAAAUUUCAACACCCUUUCGCCCCUUUUCUCAAAUUAUGACGUGAAACAGUAGAAAAGUGAAGAAAAAACGAAAUGGGGUUUCGAAUAAACAGCACAGAAGAAAAGAUAACAAUGAGAUUAAACAAGAUAUAUAUUGUAAAAAAAUUGAAGAGAUGAUUAUGGAGAAAGUGGAAAGAGGAAUCUUGAUGAUGAUGAUGAAGAUAAUGGAAUGAGUUUUGUGGUAUCUCAACUGACUGAUUUAUUGAAGCUUUACAAUGGGAAAGUAUGGCUGAUUGGAGCUGUUGAAACUUACAAAAUGCAUGAGAAGUUUCUGGCUAAGUAUCCAGCCAUUGAAAAGGAUUGGG
rnacentral:misc_RNA from 1 species